AACGGUUUACAAUUUUUUAUUUUUUUGGUUUUGAUUUUGAUACCGGUUUCCUAUUUUUUUACGUUUCGGUUUUGACUUUAAUACCGGUAUUUAAUUUUUUUCGGUUUUGGUUUUAAAUUAUAAUACCGGUAUCCAAUUUUUGCCGGUUUCGGUUUUGACUUAAAUACCGGUAUCCAAUUAUUUUCGGUUUCGGUUUUGAUUAUGGUUUCGGUUUCGGUUUUAAAACGGUUUAUACCGGUUUCUGAAAUCGGUUUUAAAAACGGUUUCAAGCCCUGCAAAAAAGAGAAUUGUUAAUUCGUUUAAAGGAAUAUUUGCACUAUUAAUAAUGAAAGUCAAAUAAAAAGUCUUAAAUAUUCAGUGACAAUUGCAUGUAUGUAAAAUGUAUAAUACUACAUAUGCAUUUUUUGUGGCUCCAGUCGGACGCUAGCCACACUUUGACCACGUCCUGCGCAUUGACGCACAGCAAGUUCAAGUCAACGUCGACGUGCGAGCGAUACUCCCGGGCCAUCGUGGAUGCCGUCCUUUUGCUCGAUCGUCAUCAGCGUCCUCCUGGACGACUGUAUCGUGUCCAACAAGUGCUUGUACGCCGCUUCCAGCAUCUUAUAUUUAUAUUUUGUAAUUUUAUAUGCAAUGUGCUAAUCAAGCACCUUAAUAUUUAUAUUUUGUAAUUUCAUAUGCAUUGUGCUAAUCAAGCACCUCAAAUCACAUUCAUAUUAUAUUCAUAGUGUUUUGUAUUGAUUUAUAUAUUUAAUUUUAUUAUGUUAUUAUAUUCAAAUCAUUCACAUUAA